rnacentral:tRNA from 1 species
GGGCGAUUAGCUCAGUCUGGUUAGAGCGCUUGCUCGACACGCAAGAGGUCACUGGUUCGAGUCCAGUAUCGCCCA